AUUCUGGUUGAUCCUACCAGUAAUAUACGCUUGUCUCAAAGGUUAAGCCAUGCAUGUCUAAGUACAAACAUAAAUGAAUGUGAAACCGCAUAAGGCUCAGUAUAACAGCUAUAAUUCACAAGAUCAUCCUACCACUAGUUACUUGGAUAACUGUGGAAAAUCCAGAGCUAAUACAUGCAACAUGCCGGGACUGUUGCCCUCGCGGGUAGCUGAACUGGUGCACUUAUUAGUUAAACCAAUCGCCUCCGGGCGGCUUGAGUUGAAGUCUGGAUAAGGACGCAGAUCGUAUGGUCGCUUGUCGACUGACGACAGAUCUUUCAAAUGUCUGCCCUAUCAACUAUUGAUGGUAGUGUAGAGGACUACCAUGGUUGCGACGGGUAACGGGGAAUCAGGGUUCGAUUCCGGAGAGGGAGCCUGAGAAAUGGCUACCACAUCCAAGGAAGGCAGCAGGCGCGUAAAUUACCCAAUCCCAGUACGGGGAGGUAGUGACGAGAAAUAACAAUAUGGACCUCUCUAACGAUGGUCCAUAAUUGGAAUGAGUUGAGUAUAAAUCCUUCAACAAGGAUCAAGUGGAGGGCAAGUCUGGUGCCAGCAGCCGCGGUAAUUCCAGCUCCACUAGCGUAUAUUAAAGUUGUUGCGGUUAAAACGUUCGAAGUUGAUUGCCCGUCCAGACACGUGACCGCCACGGGCGCCCGGUUACACGCCGGGGCCGUUCGUGCGCGCGCUCACGGCUGCGACUCACAAUGGUGUACUUGGGCGUUACUCUGUGAACGAGUACCGUGCUACCGGUUAACUCCGGCACGGGCUCCUCAUGGUGCUCAAGAUACUCACAUUUACCUUGAACAAAUUAGAGUGCUCAAAGCAGGCUAAGACAAAGCGUCCGGCCCCCCCGUGGGGUUGGCGUUGGCCGAGAAUAAUCUUGCAUGGAAUAAUGGAAUAUGACCUCGGUUUAUACGAUUUCGUUGGUUUGUCAGAAACCUAGAGGUAAUGAUUAACAGAAGUAGUUGGGGGCAUUGGUAUUACGGCGCGAGAGGUGAAAUUCGUAGACCGUCGUAGGACCAACUGAAGCGAAAGCGUUUGCCAUGGAUGCUUUCUUUAAUCAAGAACGAAAGUUAGAGGAUCGAAGGCGAUUAGAUACCGCCCUAGUUACCGACGUCAAGUGAUUCAGACUUCGCAGGGGGUGUCGUGGAACAAUU
rnacentral:rRNA from 1 species